AUUCUAAUAUGACACUCCUAAGCUCGAACGUGCCCGAAGGCCGGCCAUAAAGGCGAGCUGCAGUCCUCAGUCUCACCCAGUGUAUGUGAUAAUAGGCUAUAACACUUCCGGAGAAGUCACAUUCCUACUACCUUUAUCCACCGGACAAAACUGAUGUUGACCCGUUCCAAGGAAGUAGACCAGCAGAACUGGCUGAAUCCAAAGAACACGACUGACUUCAAUCGUUUCCCUUUCAACAAUUUCACGUACUGUUUAACUCUCUUUCCAAAGUGCUUUUCAUCUUUCCCUCACGGUACUUGUUCGCUAUCGGUCUCUCGCCAAUAUUUAGCUUUAGAUGGAAUUCACCACCCAUUUUGAGCUGCAUUCCCAAACAACUCGACUCGUAGAAGACGUAUCACAGAGCACCGGUGGUCGUGUUAAGUACGGGAUUAUCACCCUCUUUGAUACUCCUUUCCAGGAGACUUGGACACGGUCCGGCACGGAAAACGCCUCUAUAGAUUACAACUCGGACAAUCGAAGACUGCCAGAUUUCAAAUUUGAGCUCUUCCCGCUUCACUCCCCCUUACAAUAGGGGGGAUUCCUGGUAAGUCUCCUUUUUCUCCGCUUAUGAUGAUCGACAA
rnacentral:rRNA from 1 species